CACAUGCAAGUCGAGCGGAUGACAGGAGCUUGCUCCUGAAUUCAGCGGCGGACGGGUGAGUAAUGCCUAGGAAUCUGCCUGGUAGUGGGGGACAACGUUUCGAAAGGAACGCUAAUACCGCAUACGUCCUACGGGAGAAAGCAGGGGACCUUCGGGCCUUGCGCUAUCAGAUGAGCCUAGGUCGGAUUAGCUAGUUGGUGAGGUAAUGGCUCACCAAGGCGACGAUCCGUAACUGGUCUGAGAGGAUGAUCAGUCACACUGGAACUGAGACACGGUCCAGACUCCUACGGGAGGCAGCAGUGGGGAAUAUUGGACAAUGGGCGAAAGCCUGAUCCAGCCAUGCCGCGUGUGUGAAGAAGGUCUUCGGAUUGUAAAGCACUUUAAGUUGGGAGGAAGGGCAUUAACCUAAUACGUUAGUGUUUUGACGUUACCGACAGAAUAAGCACCGGCUAACUCUGUGCCAGCAGCCGCGGUAAUACAGAGGGUGCAAGCGUUAAUCGGAAUUACUGGGCGUAAAGCGCGCGUAGGUGGUUCGUUAAGUUGGAUGUGAAAGCCCCGGGCUCAACCUGGGAACUGCAUUCAAAACUGACGAGCUAGAGUAUGGUAGAGGGUGGUGGAAUUUCCUGUGUAGCGGUGAAAUGCG
rnacentral:rRNA from 1 species